AGAGGAACGUACUGAUAAUACUGGAUAAGUUAGUAUAUCGCAUGAUAUGCAAAUGAAAGCUACGGCACUAAAGGAGAGCUUUGCGUCCUAUUAGCUAGUUGGUAAGGUAAGAGCUUACCAAGGCGAUGAUAGGUAGCCGGCCUGAGAGGGUGGACGGCCACAAGGGGACUGAGAUACGGCCCUUACUCCUACGGGAGGCAGCAG
rnacentral:rRNA from 1 species